rnacentral:rRNA from 1 species
UACAGAGGUCUCAAGCGUUGUUCGGAUUCGUUGGGCGUAAAGGGUGUGUAGGUGGCGCCGUAAGUCGGGUGUGAAAUUUCGGAGCUUAACUCCGAAACUGCAUUCGAUACUGCGGUGCUUGAGGACUGGAGAGGAGACUGGAAUUCAUGGUGUAGCAGUGAAAUGCGUAGAGAUCAUGAGGAAGACCAGUGGCGAAGGCGGGUCUCUGGACAGUUCCUGACACUGAGACACGAAGGCCAGGGGAGCAAACGGG